rnacentral:rRNA from 1 species
AUGGCACAGAUGGUUGAAUUGACGAGCCGUUGCCUUGCUUUGGCGGAAGGAGUGGUAACUAUGGUGUGCCCGGUGCUCCUGGCGCUGGCUAUCAAGAAGAUCAACUGGAAAGGCAAGGUGGAAGAGCCAGUUGUUCCAAUGGCUACGCUCCUCAUUGCCAGUGUGACUCUCAUCACCGGGAUCUUCCCGUUGCUUGCAUGUUGUGUCUCAAAGUUUUUCCCGAAUAUGUCUAAAAGACGCACCCGUGUGACCAGCAGUGUGGCUGCAUACUUGUCCUCUAUUUGCCUCAUCCUACUCGCCUGCUUUAUCUCGGGAAGAAUCUUACCUCUGAAAUAUGUGGUCGCCAUCGGCGGGGCCGUCAUUCUAGUUGCCAUCGGGGUUCUCUUAAUCCUGCGCUCCUGUGCCAAUGCAUCGCAGCCGAACACGAUUACUCCAAGUCCCACGGGGGAAGCAGAGGAAAUAAACAAGGAGCUGGGCACCAAGGAAGCAGAGAGAAUAAACAAGGAAGCAGAGAGAAUAAAAAAGGAGGCAGAUGAGAGAAGAAAGGAGAUCCACGAUAUACUGGACAAGACACACGAGUUCAUGUCCGGUGUCACCGGAAUUCUGUUCCUGGGCUUGGAAGGUUUGGCACUGGAAGGUCUCAUCAGCACAUGCCAUGGGAUACCCGAUGCUGUCCGGAGACCAGUCAUGUUCAGCUUCAUCUUCUGCGCCAUCGGUGUGUCCCUAAUGUUCCUCACCAUGAUCUAUCCUCUUACGGUCACAACAGAAAAGGCAAGCAUUGUACGUAUGACCUUCGGCUUUGACCUUCUCAUGACUGGUGGUACCGUUGCAAUACUGACCAUCAUUAUGGAGAAACUCAUGGGACAUAAAGGGCUUCUGCUCUUAAGCUCCCCAGCCCUAAUCUUAUUUCACGUGGUGUACCGACUCGUGAUCAAACCGAGAGUCGCACUGGGUAAACAACAAUCACAAACGACUCUCCCAAUCUCCGACGGAUCCACGCCUUCUUCUCUGGGAUCCCCCCUCCCCCCCACCGGCGACAAGCAACAAGAGGCUAAAGCGGCGCCGCUUGGACUGACCAAGGUUACGUUUGCCGGGUUCUGGGCCAUGUCGGUGACAACCAUCAGCACUGGUUCCCACAACCACUGGUUCCUGAUAUUUGCAGCGACAGCUAUUGCUUCUGGUCUCUUUUGGAGGCUCCUCACGCACAGCAAAAAUAAGGACACGGUGGAAACUGCCAAUGUUGCUUCCUUCUUCACUCAUUUAUGCAUUGCAGUUGCUACGGUCCUAUUCACGGUAAUGGCAUGGGAGGCCGCCAAUAAAUUGCAAGUGAACACGUGUGCAAGCCGGCAGUGA